GUGGGGAAUAUUGGACAAUGGGCGAAAGCCUGAUCCAGCCAUGCCGCGUGUGUGAAGAAGGCCUUCGGGUUGUAAAGCACUUUAAGUGGGGAGGAAUGGCUCUUGGUUAAUAACCUUGAGCAGUGACGUUACCCACAGAAUAAGCACCGGCUAACUCUGUGCCAGCAGCCGCGGUAAUACAGAGGGUGCAAGCGUUAAUCGGAAUUACUGGGCGUAAAGCGCGCGUAGGCGGUUGUAUAAGUUGGAGGUGAAAUCCCCGGGCUCAACCUGGGAAUUGCCUUCAAAACUGUACGGCUAGAGUGUGGGAGAGGAAGGUAGAAUUCCAGGUGUAGCGGUGAAAUGCGUAGAUAUCUGGAGGAAUACCGAUGGCGAAGGCAGCCUUCUGGCCUAACACUGACGCUGAGGUGCGAAAGCAUGGGGAGCAAACAGGAUUAGAUACCCUUGUAGUCC
rnacentral:rRNA from 1 species